rnacentral:rRNA from 1 species
UCCUAGUGUUGGAGCCCUCUGUUUUUUUUUUUUUUUAUUUUUUGGUUAAAAGUUUAUGACUCCAUAACUUUUAGACCGUGAGGCCAAACCUGCCAUGUGAUACCUUUUCGGAAAGCCCAAAGAGAGCCCUCCGACGAAAGAAGCAGGACAAUGGCACUUUUCCAUUGACUUUUUGUCGACCCCAAAUUUUGACAUUUAAGUACUUUUUCGGGCAUUUUCGUGAUUUGCGCUGUAUUACGGACCCAAAAUUACUUGUCCAAGCAUUGUUUUCGAAUUUUUUCAUGCAUCAAAGCUCGUUAAGACUAGAUGGGGUAUCCCUACAUAGCGGGUGGGACCCACGGCGAAUGGUUCAUCAAGUCUUCAAAAAAGAAUUUAUACGAUUGCAUUGCAUAUACUAACGGAUGCGAUCAUACCAGCACUAAUGCACCGGAUCCCAUCAGAACUCCGCAGUUAAGCGUGGUUGGGCGAGAGUAGUACUAGGAUGGGUGACCUGCCGGGUAGUAAGCGUGGUUGGGCGAGAGUAGUACUAGGAUGGGUGACCUGCCGGGUA